AACUGGAGAGUUUGAUUCUGGCUCAGAAUGAACGCUGGCGGCGUGCUUAACACAUGCAAGUCGAACGAGAAAGGGAUUGCUUGCAAUCCUGAGUAGAGUGGCGCACGGGUGAGUAACACGUGGAUAAUCUACCUUUGAAUCCGGGAUAACUGUUCGAAAGAAUCGCUAAUACCGGAUGAAGUCAGUNUUUCCUUGGAAGGAUUGAUGAAAGACAGCCUCUUCUUGAAAGCUNUUGUUUGAAGAUGAGUCCGCGCACCAUUAGUUNGUUGGUGGGGUAACGGCCUACCAAGACNUUNAUGGUUAGCUGGUCUGAGAGGAUGAUCAGCCACNCUGGAACUGACACACGGUCCNGACUCCUNCGGGAGGCAGCAGUGAGGAAUUUUGCGCAAUGGGNGCNACCCUNACGCAGCAACGCCGCGUGAGUGAAGAAGGCCUNUGGGUCGUAAAGCUCUGUCAAUGGGGAAGAAGUURCUUCAUAUUAAURGUAUGUNGUAUUGACGGUACCCAUNNNNGAAGCACCGGCNNACUCCGUGCCAGCANNNNCGGUAAUANGGAGNGUGCNAGCGUNAUUCGGAAUNAUUNGGNGUNAAGGGCACGCAGGCGGUNUUGCCAGUCAGAUGUGAAAGCCCGGGGCUCAACCCUGGAAGUGCAUUUGAAACUACAAGGCUUGAGUACGGUNGAGGAAAGGGGNAUUCCUNGUGUAGAGGUGAAAUUCGUAGAUAUCAGGAGGAACACCGGUGGCGAAGGCGCCNNUCUGGACCSNNACUGACGCUNAGGUNCNAAGGCGUGGGNAGCGAACAGGAUUAGAUACCCUGGUAGUCCACGCAGUAAACGUUGUAUACUAGGUGUAGCGGGNUAUUGACCCNUGCUGUGCCGGAGCUAACGCAUUAAGUAUACCGCCUGGGAAGUACGGUCGCAAGACUAAAACUCAAAGAAAUUGACGGGGGCCCGCACAAGCGGUGGAGCAUGUGGUUUAAUUCGANNCAACGCGCAGAACCUUACCCAGACUUGACAUCCUGAGAAUCUGUUAGAGAUAUUAGAGUGCCUUCGGGAACUCAGAGACAGGUGCUGCAUGGCUGUCGUCAGCUCGUGUCGUGAGAUGUUCGGUUAAGUCCGGCAACGAGCGCAACCCCUAUCUUCAGUUGCCAGCACAUCAUGGUGGGAACUCUGAAGAGACUGCCCCGGUUAACGGGGAGGAAGGNGGGGAUGACGUCAAGUCCUCAUGGCCCUUAUGUCUGGGGCUACACACGUGNUACAAUGGUAUGUACNACGGGCAGCGAACCUGCNNAGGUGNGCGAAUCCCUNAAAGCAUAUCCCAGUCCGGAUUGGAGUCUGCAACUCGACUCCAUGAAGUUGGAAUCGCUAGUAAUCGUGGA
rnacentral:rRNA from 1 species